UGAGGAAUAUUGCGCAAUGGGCGAAAGCCUGACGCAGCGACGCCGCGUGGAGGAUGACGGUCUUCGGAUUGUAAACUCCUGUUAAGUGGGAAGAAAGACUCAUUUUUAAUAGAAAUGAGGGAUGACGGUACCAUUAGAGAAAGCACCGGCUAACUUCGUGCCAGCAGCCGCGGUAAUACGAGGGGUGCAAGCGUUAUUCGGAAUUAUUGGGCGUAAAGGGUGCGUAGACGGUUUAUUAAGUCGAUUGUUAAAUUCUCCGGCCUAACUGGGGGUCCACGGUCGAAACUGAUAAGCUUGAGGUUGGAAGAGAGAAGUGGAAUUCUCGGAGUAGCGGUAAAAUGCGUAGAUCUCGAGAGGAACACCGAUGGCGAAGGCAGCUUCUUGGUCCAUACCUGACGUUGAGGCACGAAAGCGUGGGGAGCAAACAGG
rnacentral:rRNA from 1 species